GACAAACGCUGGCGGCGUGUAUUAGGCAUGCAAGUCGAGCGAGAAGCCGGCCUUCGGGCUGGUGGAGAGCGGCGGACGGGUGAGUAACACGUGGAUGACCUGCCCUCGGGAGGGGGACAACCCUGGGAAACCGGGGCUAAUACCGCAUACGCCGGGCACCGCGAGGUGUCGGGGAAAGCGCAUGCGCCCGGGGAGGGGUUCGCGGACGAUUAGCUGGUUGGUGAGGUAAGGGCUCACCAAGGCCA
rnacentral:rRNA from 1 species